GGUAACCACGUGACUGCAAAGUAUGAAUUGCGAUUGGUCAAUGAAACGCUACCAGCAACGCGUUCUUGUGUCAUGAUGGGAACGCCCAAGCCGCAGCUGGACGCUUCUCACAAGGACAAGAACCCUCCCCUGUCGUCCCAGCCUUUUAACAGUGGCGGAAAAUGAAGGCAUUGACGAGGAAAUUCUUUACCUUCUUGAUGAUCCAGAAAUUGAUAGCUUGAUCCCCAGAGUGGGACACAGGGCGAAAUUUAAGAAUAAACUCAAGUUGUUAAAGG